GAAGCUGCACAACACCCGUAUGAUGUUCGACGACAAGCCCGAGUCAGGAUUUAUCAGCAUUCUUACGAGUAUUGAGUCACGUUUGAUGCUGGUGAGCUGAUUUAUAAUUUUUGUAAGUUUAUCUGAUGAUUGGAUUAACUAGACUUAUUAGUCGUAAUAAUUCUCCUGUUUAACAGUCGUGUCGUGUUUGUGUUAGAUGUUUGCUAAAAUACCUCAGCACCUCUGAUAACGUAAUCGUGUGAAAUAAUUGCGUAUUAUGGUACAACUUAGGUCUAAAAUGCAGGAUUUUUGAAGAAUGUCUUAGAGAACGUAUAAGUUAAGUGUGCAUAAAUUGGUUCGUCAUUUGUGAUGAAUGGUCAAUUUAGUAAUGUAAAGGGUGGUGUACGUGUUUCUAUCGUCUACCCGGUAAGCAUUAGCGAUGCUUAUAUAUAUCAUGAUUUCUGUAUGAUUGAUUUGCGUUGAUAUCGUGUUUAGCUGAUAUGAUGUGCAUAAUAGUUUAGAGUAGUAAUUCUAAGUCACUUAAAAUGCUACUAUCUGUUAUUUUAAGUUAUAGGUAUCCAUGGUUGUUGCGUCUAAGUAUUGUUAAUCUUCGGUGUAGAUUAUCUGUCUAAUGCUAUUCCUCUAUAAAUUCAUACAUGUGCAUUGUGCAUCCCAUGAGGUACGUUAAUUGACACGUGAUGUGAAAGACGAGCCGGGUCAACCCCAAGAUGUUGUAAAGCACGACCUACUUCGAAAAGUGAUGCUGAUGGAGGAACCUGAAGAUGGAUAAUCUGAACGAGUGCCAAGACAAAGGAUGAUCGUCAAGUGAUCGACGUCUAACAAACACUAACCUAGUGUUAUUCCAGGCAAGCCCCGGUGCAUUAUCCCUUUCCUUGUGUUUUAAAAUCUUUAUCACCUUGUUUGAUGCAUUAGGUGAUAGGAGUUGUGUGCUAAACAAUUGAUGCAUUUCCUUCCUUGGAAAAUUGAUUACCCUUCCUUGAUACCCUUUUAUGAAAAGGAUUUUAAUGAUGCUUAGCCUUGCUCUAGAAAAACAAAAUGUUUUGUUUUAAAACAAAAGUGAAGCUUCAUAUUGGUUGGGAAUUUUUACAAAGAAAAUACUUAUGAUGGUGAAUCCAUCAAAGGCCUUGAUGGGUUCAACAUCUGAAAAGAUGUACCUCUGCCAGGUACCAAACUUUGGGUUUUAAAUAAUAAAGACGAGACCAGGCGGGUGACUUGCACGAGAAGGGAGUCUCAGUGUAGUGUCUCCGUCUGAGUCGCUUAAGGACCAUUCGAUGUAGGCCUAAUGAGGUGAGACUUUGCAACUAGCCACAUGCUCUGGUAAGCCUGAACCCGACAAUUCCAUAUGUGAAAAGACAACCGCGCACUGGGUGUGGGAGAUGGUGGGAGUAGCGUGUACCCUCCUGGCUAGAGGCUGGACGGAGGAGUACUGUGCUCCCGGGUAGCGCAGACCGGUUCACGUUGUGGAGGAUCUGUGGGAACGGUUGACAUAUGCAAGGGUUAUGUGCUACAUAUGUCGUGUGGUUAGGGAUCCCGAGCUGGGUAUAAUCGGUUCGAAUCGUAGUUGAUAAGUGAAAUAUGAAUUGCUAAAAUAAAGCUAGAUCAGGACAAGUGAACGAUCUAGAUUAGGCAAAUUUAGAAUCAGGUAAGAACUUAACUUGAUAAUUAAAAGGUGGCUUAAGGAUCCACUAUUAGUAGGCGUUUCUGCAAAAUGAGUCCUUGAUUAUUGCUUAGCCUUACCUUGAUUCCUAAUCAGCCAGCAUAUCCUUGAGAGUCUUUUUCCUUAGACGGGUAAGACUUGCGAAAGUACACUUCAUACUCAGGGUUUUCGAACCCAUGUUGUUGCAGGUACUAGAAUUGUGUUGUUGUGGAUGGUGUUAAGCGCCG
rnacentral:lncRNA from 1 species